GAACGCUAGCUACAGGCUUAACACAUGCAAGUCGAGGGGCAGCAUGAACAUAGCUUGCUACUUUUGAUGGCGACCGGCGCACGGGUGCGUAACAGGUGUGCAAUCCGUCCAUAAUCGGGGAAUAGCCCAGCGAAAGUUGGAUUAAUGCUCCAUGUGAGCUUGAGAGGCAUCUCUCGAGUUUGAAACGCAAGGAUUAUGGGUGAGCACGCUUCUGAUUAGGUAGUUGGUGAGGUAACGGCUCACCAAGCCGACGAUCAGUAGGGGUUCUGAGAGGAAGGUCCCCCACAUUGGAACUGAGACACGGUCCAAACUCCUACGGGAGGCAGCAGUGAGGAAUAUUGGUCAAUGGACGCAAGUCUGAACCAGCCAAGUCGCGUGAAGGAUGAAGGUUCUAUGGAUUGUAAACUUCUUUUGUCUGAGGGUAAAAAAGCGGACGUGUCCGUUCUUGCAAGUAUCAGACGAAUAAGCAUCGGCUAACUCCGUG
rnacentral:rRNA from 1 species